rnacentral:rRNA from 1 species
ACGGGUGAGUACCGUGGGAACGUACCCUUUGGUUCGGAAUACGCUGGGAACUAGCGCUAAUACCGGAUACGCCCUUUUGGGGAAAGGCUUGCUGCCGAAGGAUCGGCCCGCGUCUGAUUAGCUAGUUGGUGGGGUAAUGGCCUACCAAGGCGACGAUCAGUAGCUGGUCUGAGAGGAUGAUCAGCCACACUGGGACUGAGACACGGCCCAGACUCCUACGGGAGGCAGCAGUGGGGAAUAUUGGACAAUGGGCGCAAGCCUGAUCCAGCCAUGCCGCGUGAGUGAUGAAGGCCUUAGGGUUGUAAAGCUCUUUUGUCCGGGACGAUAAUGACGGUACCGGAAGAAUAAGCCCCGGCUAACUUCGUGCCAGCAGCCGCGGUAAUACGAAGGGGGCUAGCGUUGCUCGGAAUCACUGGGCGUAAAGGGCGCGUAGGCGGCCAUUCAAGUCGGGGGUGAAAGCCUGUGGCUCAACCACAGAAUUGCCUUCGAUACUGUUUGGCUUGAGUUUGG